CCUACGGGAGGCAGCAGUGAGGAAUAUUGGUCAAUGGGCGGAAGCCUGAACCAGCCAAGUAGCGUGCGGGAUGAAGGCCCUACGGGUCGUAAACCGCUUUUGCACGGGGAUAACACCCUCCACUUGUGGAGGUCUGCAGGUACCGUGCGAAUAAGGGCUGGCUAAUUCCGUGCCAGCAGCCGCGGUAAUACGGAAGGCCCGAGCGUUAUCCGGAUUCAUGGGGGUUAAAGGGAGCGAAGGCGGGCGUUCAAGGUCGCUGUAAAAUCGCGGGGUUCAACCGCGCCCCGCAGUUGAAACUGGACGUCUUGAGUGCGCAAGAGGCAGGCGGAAUGCGUGGUGUAGCGGUGAAAUGCAUAGAUAUCACGAGGAACCCCGAUUGCGAAGGCAGCCUGCCGGGGUGCGACUGACGCUGAGGCUCGAAGGUGCGGGUAUCAAACAGGAUUAGAUACCCGAGUAGUC
rnacentral:rRNA from 1 species